rnacentral:rRNA from 1 species
AUUGAACGCUAGCGGGAUGCCUUACACAUGCAAGUCGAACGGAGUGUCGAACGGGUGAGUAAGGUAGCGGAACGUGCCCAUUAGCGGGGGAUAACUACGCGAAAGCGUAGCUAAUACCGCAUACUAUUGGAGCGGCCGCUAUCGGAUUAGCUAGUUGGUGGGGUAACGGCUCAACAGGGCGACGAGCCGUAGCUGGUUUGAGAGGACGACCAGCCACACGGGGACUGAGACACGGCCCAGACUCCGACGGGAGGCAGCAGUGGGGAAUUUUGGGCAAUGGGGGAAACCCUGAUCCAGCCAUGCCGCGUGAGCGAUGAAGGCCUUCGGGUUGUAAAGCACUGUUGGCAGGAAAGCGGUACCUGAAGAGUAAGCCCCGGCUAACUACGUGCCAGCAGCCGCGGUAAUAC